rnacentral:rRNA from 1 species
AGAGCCCAAACCAAGAAGCUUGCUUCUUGGGGUUGUAGGACACUCUAUACGGAGUUACAAAAGAAAGUUAUAAAUGAAGCGGGCUGGAAAGGCCCGCCAAAGACGGUAACAGCCCGGUAGUUGAAAUGGCUUUCCCUCCAGAGUGGAUCCUGAGUACGGCGGAACACGUGAAAUUCCGUCGGAAUCCGGGAGGACCAUCUCCCAAGGCUA